GGCGAUUUGGCGGAGUGGUUAACGCGGUAGAUUAGAAUAUUAAAUAGAGUUCAUCAAUUGAUCUUCUUCCCCCUGGGAGCACAGGUUCGAAUCCUGUAGUCGUCG
rnacentral:tRNA from 1 species